rnacentral:RNase_P_RNA from 1 species
UGGGAUUUAUGGGCAGUCGCUGGUAAUUUAUUACGAGAGGAAAGUCCGGACACUAUAUGAGCAUAAUGACUGAUAACAUCAGUUCGCAGCAAUGCGGGGAAAGCGUUACAGAAAAUAACCGCUGCAUUAGCAGCAAGGGUGAAAAGGUGAGGGUAAGAGCCCACCUCUGCUUUUGGUAACAAAAGUAUGGGAACAAGCCCCAUUAAGUGCAAGGCAAAUAGGCUGAAAGGGUUGCUCAGCCCAUAUUUUCAGCGGGUAAGCUGCUUGAAUUAUUAAGCAAUUAAUAAUCUAGAGAAAUGACUGCCGCCUGUUUUACAGGUACAGAAUCCGGCUUAUAGUAAAUCCCGUUUU